UACGUAGGAGGCGAGCGUUGUCCGGAGUUACUGGGCGUAAAGGGUGCGCAGGCGGCGGUUCGCGUGGAUAGGUGAAAUCUCCUGGCUUACCUGGGAGGAUGGUAUCCAGACGGGAUCGCUUGAGGGUCGGAGAGGGGCGUGGAAUUCCGGGUGGAGCGGUGAAAUGCGUAGAGAUCCGGAGGAACCCCAGAGGCGAAGGCGGCGUCCUGGCUCGCAUCUGACGCUCAGACACGACAGCAUGGGGAGCGAACGGG
rnacentral:rRNA from 1 species